AGCGAACGCUGGCGGCAGGCCUAACACAUGCAAGUCGAACGGGCGUAGCAAUACGUCAGUGGCAGACGGGUGAGUAACGCGUGGGAACGUACCUUUUGGUUCGGAACAACUGAGGGAAACUUCAGCUAAUACCGAAUAAGCCCUUACGGGGAAAGAUUUAUCGCCGAAAGAUCGGCCCGCGUCUGAUUAGCUUGUUGGUGAGGUAACGGCUCACCAAGGCGACGAUCAGUAGCUGGUCUGAGAGGAUGAUCAGCCACAUUGGGACUGAGACACGGCCCAAACUCCUACGGGAGGCAGCAGUGGGGAAUAUUGGACAAUGGGCGAAAGCCUGAUCCAGCCAUGCCGCGUGAGUGAUGAAGGCCCUAGGGUUGUAAAGCUCUUUUGUGCGGGAAGAUAAUGACGGUACCGCAAGAAUAAGCCCCGGCUAACUUCGUG
rnacentral:rRNA from 1 species